rnacentral:rRNA from 1 species
GUGUCAGCAGCCGCGGUAAUACGGAGGAUGCAAGCGUUAUCCGGAUUUAUUGGGUUUAAAGGGUGCGUAGGCGGAUAUGUAAGUCAGCGGUGAAACUCACAGGCUCAACCUGUGCCGUGCCGUUGAAACUGUGUAUCUGGAAUGCGGAUGCUGUGGGAGGAAUGUGUAGUGUAGCGGUGAAAUGCAUAGAUAUUACACAGAACACCGAUUGCGAAGGCAUCUCACAAAGCCGUUAUUGACGCUGAGGCACGAAAGUGUGGGGAUCAAACAGGAUUAGAUACCCUGGUAGUCCACUACUGUAAACUAUGAUAACUCGCUGCCAGCGAUAGACUGUUGGUGGCCCAGCGAAAGCGAUAAGUUAUCCACCUGGGGAGUACGACCGCAAGGUUGAA